GACGAACGCUGGCGGCGUGCUUAACACAUGCAAGUCGAACGAAGAGCGAUGGAAGCUUGCUUCUAUCAAUCUUAGUGGCGAACGGGUGAGUAACGCGUAAUCAACCUGCCCUUCAGAGGGGGACAACAGUUGGAAACGACUGCUAAUACCGCAUACGAUCUAAACUCGGCAUCGAGGAUAGAUGAAAGGUGGCCUCUACAUGUAAGCUAUCACUGAAGGAGGGGAUUGCGUCUGAUUAGCUAGUUGGAGGGGUAACGGCCCACCAAGGCGAUGAUCAGUAGCCGGUCUGAGAGGAUGAACGGCCACAUUGGGACUGAGACACGGCCCAGACUCCUACGGGAGGCAGCAGUGGGGAAUCUUCCGCAAUGGACGAAAGUCUGACGGAGCAACGCCGCGUGAGUGAUGACGGCCUUCGGGUUGUAAAGCUCUGUUAAUCGGGACGAAAGGCCUUCUUGCGAAUAGUGAGAAGGAUUGACG
rnacentral:rRNA from 1 species